AGCAUGGACGUAAAUUUUCACUUGGAGCUUCCCAUCUGAAGCUUGGGGGUCUCAGCCGCCUUCCACAUGGCAACAGUAGCCGAUUUCAACAUAAAAUUUUGAUUACUUUGAAGUCAUCCCAUUAUUACAGAGAACUCUUUUCAGCACUCAAAAGGAUGAAACAAUGAUAAGUGACCUUGAUUGUGUAAUAACUCAUUUAACACCCACAGCAGUCCUCGAAGAAAAAAGCCAGCUGCCAUGUCAUGAAGACAUGAAAGCAG